UGGUUUCUCUUAAUGAAAAGUUGUUUAUCUUCUACCCAGUGUGAAUCCUGUUUGACAAAGAAUAUCGCGCAGUCAGCAUUUCAGAGUGGCACGAAAGAGCCUGUGUCGUCAAACCACUUUGCCAGAGCUGCCUUCUCCCCACCCUGUUUGUUUGCCUGCCAAAGACUGGUACCUGUCAGUGUUAGAACUAAAACUUACAUCUGCUAAAUCCUAGCUAGACUGGACUUACAGGACUGCUGCAGUGUUCGGAACCAUCGCCUGCCCUUCCUGGAAUUUCUCGUUUCGGGCUGCUCAUGUUGCACUCAGCCUCCUUGACCAGAAAGAGUUGUUCAUCCAGAGCCUCCUUCUGAAGUUGCAGUUUCUGUACAUAGCCUGUCUGGGUCUCCAGCUCCUUUUCCAGGGAAAAGAUGAUCCUGUCCUUGGCUUUGAUUUCAUCCAUCUGAAUUAAAUGAGACCCAGGACAUUUUAUUUAACA